UGAGUCCAACAGUUUCUCUCUCUAGUUCAACAGCCUCAAAAGAAAACAGUAAAAAUGACUGUCCAAUUAAGUCAGACAACUGAAAUGUACUAAACAGGCAGCUGUAUGCUCAGGAAGUGUUUUGUAUUUAAAAAGGUUGCUCCAUCUUAGUCCCUCCAAUACACACCGGGUGAGCUGGCCCAGCGUCCUCUUUGCUUCCCCACUCACAGCUUUUAAGCUCCUGGUCUGUUUCCCUGCUCCUCCGUGGCUGCGGUCGUGUGUUCCUGGGGCCUUGGGCCUCGACAUGGAGCCUGGCACAAAGCAAAGGAUCAACCAACAUGUGCUGAGUGAAUGACCUGCUGGUCUUUGGAGGUUUAGCAUCAAAACCACUGUUCUCAUCACACCGCACUCUACUCAUCUGCUGAUGAGUCUGUGAGCUCCUUGAGGGCAGGAUCCACAUGACUUCGAUAUCCUAGCACCGAGUCUAGUUCCCAGCACAAAGUGGACGUUCAAUACAUAUUUAUUGAAAUUGUGUCUUGAAAGCCUAGGCUCAAGUGAUCCUCUUGCCUCAGCCUCCCGAAUAGCUGGGACUACAGCCACUGUGUCUGGCCUUAUUGAAACUAUGUAAGCUAUGACUGUUUGUUUAUAUUUCUGUAUGCCCUAAUGUACUGUGAACUCCUCGCAACAAGACCAAUGGUACUCA